CACACCGCCCGUCACACCACGAAAGUGGAUUGUACCCGAAGUCUCCAGGCCAACCCGCAAGGGAGGCAGGAGCCCAAGGUAUGAUUCAUGAUUGGGGUGAAGUCGUAACAAGGUACCC
rnacentral:rRNA from 1 species